rnacentral:rRNA from 1 species
CGGAAAGACCCCGUGAACCUUUACUAUAGCUUGACACUGAACAUUGAGCCUUGAUGUGUAGGAUAGGUGGGAGGCUUUGAAGUGUGGACGCCAGUCUGCAUGGAGCCGGCCUUGAAAUACCACCCUUUAAUGUUUGAUGUUCUAACGUUGGCCCCUGAUCGGGGUUGCGGACAGUGUCUGGUGGGUAGUUUGACUGGGGCGGUCUCCUCCUAAAGAGUAACGGAGGAGCACGAAGGUU